CGCGUAGGCGGCUUGCCAAGUCAGUGGUGAAAUCCUGCAGCUUAACUGCAGAAGUGCCUUUGAUACUGGCGAGCUCGAGGGAGGUAGGGGUAUGUGGAACUUCUGGUGGAGCGGUGAAAUGCGUUGAUAUCAGAAGGAACGCGGUGGCGAAAGCGACGUACUGGACCUCUUCUGACGCUGAGGCGCGAAAGCUAGGGGAGCAAACG
rnacentral:rRNA from 1 species